rnacentral:lncRNA from 1 species
AAGUUCUGGCGGCAUCACAUCCUUGUACUCAUUAAGGAUGGCUUGAAUUUGUGGAGGGACUUGGCUUGGCGACAUUCCGCUAUUUCCUUCCUCGUUCAGUUCCCGAAUGGAGACCAAGAAGCUUGAGUCCUUCUUGAAAGCCUUCUUGAAUUGCAUGGCAGAGAGUGUCUUCUCCUCGGGCUUGCCUCUCUCCACGGGUACCAUGCAUGACUUGCUCCCGUCAAGUAUGCUUAGAGAGUUUGUGGCGGGCAGCGGGAAGGCA